rnacentral:rRNA from 1 species
AACGCGAAGAACCUUACCUGGGUUUGACAUGCAAGUGACGUAUACAGAGAUGUAUAUUUCCCGCAAGGGACAGUUGCACAGGUGCUGCAUGGCUGUCGUCAGCUCGUGCCGUGAGGUGUUGGGUUAAGUCCCGCAACGAGCGCAACCCUUGUCGUUAGUUGCCAGCAAGUGAAGUUGGGAACUCUAACGAGACUGCCUGGGUUAACCAGGAGGAAGGUGAGGAUGACGUCAAGUCCGCAUGGCCUUUAUGCCCAGGGCUACACACGUGCUACAAUGGUCGGUACAGAGGGCAGCAAAGCUGAGAAGUGGAGCAAAUCCUUAAAGCCGGCCCCAGUUCAGAUUGUAGUCUGCAACUCGACUACAUGAAGAUGGAAUUGCUAGUAAUGGCGGGUCAGCAACACCGCCGUGAAUACGUUCCCGGGCCUUGUA